UGUGGGUUUUGACUACACCACCCUCCCAAAAGUAACCCGGAAACGCAUCGUUGGUGGAGAAAUUGCAACUCCACAUUCAUUUCCAUGGAUGGCCGCUCUUGAAAACCGUGGUGUUUUGCAUUGCGGUGGGUCACUUCUGAAAGGCAGUUCUGACAGGUGUUCGUCCUAACUGCUGCCCACUGUUUGCAUGGAACUUCUGAGUCAGACUGGAAG